rnacentral:lncRNA from 1 species
GAUUUCCUCAAUGGUAAUGCCAUCCUACUCUGGUAGUCCUUCCGACACAUCAGCAGACGCUGCUGUACCUGUGCAAGAUGAUCCGAAGCAUCACUACUACCAACAGCCGCCGAAUAAUCAUAUGCCAACCCAUGAUCCUAGAAUCCAAAAUGGUAUAAUAGAUGUUCCUCCAAUAGAAAAUGUACAGCAGAAUCCUGCAACGACAGCAGUUGGUGAAAUAAUCAUAUGCCAACCAAUGAUCCUAGAAUCCAAAAUGGUAUGGUAGAUGUUCCUCCAAUAGAAAAUGUACAGCAGAAUCCUGCAACGGCAGCAGUUGGGGGAAACAAGAUGGGUAGAACAGCUUCAA